UGGGGAAUUUUGGACAAUGGGCGAAAGCCUGAUCCAGCAAUGCCGCGUGUGUGAAGAAGGCCUUCGGGUUGUAAAGCACUUUUGUCCGGAAAGAAAUCCUUGGCUCUAAUACAGUCGGGGGAUGACGGUACCGGAAGAAUAAGCACCGGCUAACUACGUGCCAGCAGCCGCGGUAAUACGUAGGGUGCAAGCGUUAAUCGGAAUUACUGGGCGUAAAGCGUGCGCAGGCGGUUUGCUAAGACCGAUGUGAAAUCCCCGGGCUCAACCUGGGAACUGUAUUGGUGACUGGCAGGCUAGAGUAUGGCAGAGGGGGGUAGAAUUCCACGUGUAGCAGUGAAAUGCGUAGAGAUGUGGAGGAAUACCGAUGGCGAAGGCAGCCCCCUGGGCCAAUACUGACGCUCAUGCACGAAAGCGUGGGGAGCAAACAGGAUUAGAUACCCUGGUAGUCCACGCCCUAAACUAUGUCAACUAGUUGUUGGGGAUUCAUUCCUUAGUAACGUAGCUAACGCGUGAAGUUGACCGCCUGGGGAGUACGGUCGCAAGAUUAAAACUCAAAGGAAUUGACGGGGUCAUAGCUGUUUCCU
rnacentral:rRNA from 1 species